rnacentral:tRNA from 1 species
GUCAGGAUAGCUCAGUGGUAGAGCAGAGAAAC